CUACGGGAGGCUGCAGUGGGGAAUAUUGGACAAUGGGCGAAAGCCUGAUCCAGCCAUGCCGCGUGGAUGAAGAAGGCCCUAGGGUUGUAAAGUCCUUUCGGUGGUGAAGAUAAUGACGGUAACCACAGAAGAAGCCCCGGCUAAUUUCGUGCCAGCAGCCGCGGUAAUACGAAAGGGGCUAGCGUUGUUCGGAAUUACUGGGCGUAAAGCGCACGUAGGCGGCCUUGUAAGUUGGGGGUGAAAUCCCGGAGCUCAACUCCGGAACUGCCUUCAAAACUAAAAAGCUAGAGGAUGUGAGGGAUAGUGGAAUUCCGGGUGUAGAGGUGAAAUUCGUAGAUAUCCGGAAGAACACCGGUGGCGAAGGCGACUGUCUGGCACAUUUCUGACGCUGAGGUGCGAAAGCGUGGGGAGCAAACAGGAUUAGAUACCCUAGUAGUC
rnacentral:rRNA from 1 species